AACUUUUAGCAAUGGAUCACUUGGUUCUGGCAUCGAUGAAGAACGCAGCGAAAUGCGAUAAGUAGUAUGAAUUGCAGAAUUCAGUGAAUCAUCGAAUCUUUGAACGCACAUUGCGCCCCUUGGUAUUCCAUGGGGCAUGCCUGUUCGAGCGUCAUUUGUACCCUCAAGCUCUGCUUGGUGUUGGGUGUUUGUCCUUGCCACUGCGUUUGGACUCACCUCAAAGCAAUUGGCAGCCAGUGUAUUGGUUUUAAGCGCAGCACAUUUUGCGUCUUACUCCCUGUAACACUUGCGUCCAUCAAGCCUUUUUAUCACUUUUGACCUCGGAUCAGGUAGGGAUACCCGCUGAACUUAAGCAUAUCAAUAAGCGGAGGCU
rnacentral:misc_RNA from 1 species